rnacentral:tRNA from 1 species
GCGCCCGUAGCUCAGUUGGAUAGAGCAACGGACUUCUAAUCCGUAGGUCGCAGGUUCGAAUCCUGCCGGGCGCG